rnacentral:misc_RNA from 1 species
UAUUUUCUUAUAAAUAAUCUAUUCUAAAAGAACCCCUAUAAAAUAGAAAAGAAUAAAAAGAAACUUCACUAAUUUGGAUUUCAAAAUGCAAAUUUUCAAGCAUUUUGGCAAAUAUGAAUUAUUGAGAAAAUUGUUAAAACCUUCUCAACCUGUAACUCACAGCACAAUUUUCCAUUUUGAAAUGCCUUUUUUUUUUCGAAAAUGAGGGAAAAAGGAAAUCAAAACACUGCAAAGGAUUUGAAGACUUGAUUCAAACCCUCACAGUGAAGGAGUGUUUGAGGCUGCCAACAUGAAGGACAUGCUCUCCCAAGGCAACUUUCCGGCUUCCAGAUUCAUCGGAGACACUUAAAUGCUUGCAUACAUCCACCUUAAAUUGCACCAUUCCAACUGUUUGUGCGUCCAAAGAAACCUUCUCAAAAUCCACCAAAUGCUUCUGUGGUGAAUUGUGCACUGAUGGAGGUGUAGAGAACAAGAACACUGUAUGGCUUCCUCUAAUUUUUCCUGUAUUUUUAACUUUCAAAUGUACAUCAAAAGCUAAAUUUUGACAAGUCUGCUCUACAGCAUCAAUUGAUAUGCAUUUCGACGAUCGACAAGCAUGGUCUUCCUCCAACGGGACAGAUACUAAUUUAGGUGCUCGAACUAGUUUGUGCUCAAAUUUGGAAUAGCUCAGCCCAUCUCCGAACGAAUAAACAGUUUCUCCUGUGUAGAAUCUAUAGGUUCUACCUGGAUAACCAGUAGAAGGAUCUGGUCUCAUGUUCAUGUUUGUCAUUGGUACUUUGUCCACAUAUGAUUGUGGAUACCAUGUCAUUGGAAGUCUUCCACUUGGAUUGUAAUACCCAAAAAUCACAUCAGCUAUGGCAGCUCCACCAGCUUCUCCAGGGUAGCCAACCCAUAGGAUGCUUGUGAUUUUGUCAUUAGUCUUUGCAAAUGAUACAUCCAUGCCACCUCCGGACAUUAUAACAAGAAUCACAGGUCCCUUGGAAACGUUUGCAACUUCUGUUAUCAAAAGCUGCUGCUGUCCUGGAAGAAGAAGGUCGACCCUGUCAAGACUUUCUCUCUCGAUAGACUGAUCAGCACCCAUGACAAGCACAACGGCAUCUGCCGAGGCUGCUACUUUCUUGGCAUCAUCCACUUGUGCUGUGCCACAUGCAACAUUAGAGCAGCCUGCCUGAUAAGUAGUUGCAACUGAUGCUGUUAGUCCUUGCAAAGGGGUCGUAUAUUUGCACGGGGUACCUGCAAUAUCAGUUAACAAAAUGAUUUCCAUGUCGAUCGAACUAAAUAGAAUUUUAGUUUCACAGAAAUCUAACUUGUGCUAAUAGUUCACAGUUUACACUUCACGACAGGAGACAUCAGGAUAUAUAGGAUAGGAAGAAAUCGUUUGAGAUUGAGUAAAAUUCUCAAGGCAUACCCUCAUAGUUUCCAAUCAUUGUCUUUGUGACAUUGGCAUUGGGUCCAAUUACUGCCAAGUUUUUUAUGGCAGUAGGAGAUAGAGGCAGUGAUCCUGGACUGUUCUUAAGCAACACUAUCCCUUGCCUUGCGGCUUCACGGGCCAGAUCUUGGUUCUCUGUUGUGCAAACAUCUUUUGGACCAAGCUUUCCAUAGAGUUGCUUGCUAGGGUCGCCAUCAAAAAAACCCAGUCUCAUCAAGGUGGCAAAAUUGUUUGAGACAGCCUUAUCAAUUGCCGGCUCAUCCACUAAUCCUGCCUUAACUGCAGCUUCCGUGUGUUGGCCUAGGAAGGAUCCACAAUUGAGAUCCAACCCUGCCAAUAUAGCUUUAGCUGCAGCUUCUUCUGGUGUUUUGGUAUAAUGUUGAGAAUUGUAGAACACAUCGACUGAAUCACAGUCAGAAACAAUGUACCCGUUUAAUUUCCAUUCGCCUCGGAUGACUCCAGAAAGGAGGUCUGGAUCAGCACAAGUAGGCUUACCAUUGACCUGAUUGUAAGAACACAUGACACUGGCAACAUUCCCAUCAAGAACACAACUUUUGAAUGGUGGUUGAAAUGUAUCAUCCAGGUCUUGCUUUGUUACCACAGCAUUGAAAUGGUAACGGUCUGUCCCUUUCCAAUUAUCUAAGUCAUAGGCUGUAUAAUGUUUACAGCAUGCAGCAACCUUAAGCCUAUUGUCAUCACCAUCAUCCCUUUGUUGCAGACCUCUAACAUAACCUGACCCAUACUUACUUGAAAGCAAUGGGUCUUCACCUGGCGUCUCCUGGCCUCUUCCCCAUCUGGGAUCACGAAAUAUGUUAAUAUUUGGUGACCAAAACGUCAAGCCUGCCAAUCCCACAUUGUACAUAGCCCUAGCUUCAGUAGAAACCACCUUGCAAAAACAAUGCCAUCCUAAUUUGUUAUGUUAUCUGCAUAUAAUGGGACGUCACAUAUGAUAUAACAAAUGCAUCAAUCGUAAGGAAGAAACAUGAUGCUAAAGUGUACAAGUUAGCUAAAUUUAUAAACAAAGAGUUCAAAAGAGGUAAAUCCUUCCUUUUCGAGAUAAGAGUGAACGAUUUUAAUAAGGGAUAGACAGUCAUCCAUUUAUUUUAUCAAAAUGGUCUUCAAUCAACAAACCAUGCGAGCUGUAACCCUCUACUAAAAGUAUUCACAAUUAUAAUUCCAACAACCUUCUUCCAACAAAUGCACAUAUAAAAUGAUGUUCACACCAAAAAUAUCAGUAUCCAAUGCAACAACCACGAGACUGAGUACCUACUUCAGUUGAAUAACCGUAUCUACAUCUAGACCGGUCAGGUCCUUGAGUUUGGUUUCCGACUGGAACCAGUUUGGUCUAACUUAAAUGAAAAUUAGACCGGAGUUCCAUAGACCCUAAUCAAGCUAGAACCACUUUCUUUUUCUUUUUUCUAAAAAAAAAAAUUUAUUAUUGAAUUAGCUCAAAUCAAAUGGAAUUAAAGCUGAAAUUGAGAGACCUGCAAUUUGGUUCUGCCCAAUUUCAAAAAAAAGAAAAAUCAACUAUUUCAACCCAAAAUCGGACCGGAAUGGUCCACUGGUCUAUUCCAUCCACUCACUUCUAUUCACAUAUUUUGGGCCGGGGAGGAGAACCCUCUUGUACAAAUAGAUAUUUUUACCAUAAAUAACUGACACAGCAGUAUUUGCCAUCAUUUGACAGGUUUUCUCCUUAAAAUUGGAACAUUUAUUACCUCUGUCGAAACUCUCAUUGUUAGUAUUUAGUAGAUCACAAUUUUCCCAUUUUUUCAAUCUCUUCAAUGCAAAUCCUAAACAUUGUUUACAAAAAAAAAUCUGGAAGAAGAAGAAGAAGAAAGCAACCUGCCAAUGCAUUUAAAUUUCAAUCGCUUCACUAUUGGAUUAAAUAACAAAUGAAGAUAAUGAGACGAGAGAAAUGGUAUAGUAAUCUUAUACCUUUCCAAUGGCUUCAAAAAG